rnacentral:rRNA from 1 species
UCAGAUACCGUCCUAGUUCUGACCAUAAACGAUGCCAACUGACGAUCUCGUGGUGGUUCUUUAUGUGUCCCCACGGGCAGUCCCCGGGAAACCCUUAAGUCUUUGGGCUCCGGGGGAAGUAUGGUUGCAAAGCUGAAACUUAAAGGAAUUGACGGAAGGGCACCACCAGGAGUGGAGCCUGCGGCUUAAUUCGACUCAACACGGGAAAACUCACCCGGCCCGGACACUGUGAGGAUUGACAGAUUGAUAGCUCUUUCUUGAUUCGGUGGUUGGUGGUGCAUGGCCGUUCUUAGUUGGUGGAGCGAUUUGUCUGGUUAAUUCCGAUAACGAACGAGACUCUGGCCUGCUAAAUAGUAUGCCUGUCCUCUGUGCUCGUGCAGGUUGCGUUGUCCAUUGCCUCCUCGAGGGGUAGUGGUUACGUUGACCGGCGGGUGCGGCGCAGGUACUUACUUCUUAAAGGGACAAGCGGUAUUCAGUCGCACGAAAUUGAGCAAUAACAGGUCUGUGAUGCCCUUAG